AGUCGAGGGGUAGAGGGUGCUUGCACCCUUGAGACCGGCGCACGGGUGCGUAACGCGUAUGCAAUCUACCUUUUACAGAGGGAUAGCCCAGAGAAAUUUGGAUUAAUACCUCAUAGUAUUAUUGAUUGGCAUCAAUUGAUAAUUAAAGCUGAGGCGGUAAAAGAUGAGCAUGCGUUCUAUUAGCUAGAUGGAGUGGUAACGGCACCCCAUGGCAACGAUAGAUAGGGGCCCUGAGAGGGGGAUCCCCCACACUGGUACUGAGACACGGACCAGACUCCUACGGGAGGCAGCAGUGAGGAAUAUUGGACAAUGGGCGAGAGCCUGAUCCAGCCAUGCCGCGUGCAGGAAGACGGUCCUAUGGAUUGUAAACUGCUUUUAUACGGGAAGAAACACCCCCUCGUGAGGGGGCUUGACGGUACCGUAAGAAUAAGGAUCGGCUAACUCCGUGCCAGCAGCCGCGGUAAUACGGAGGAUCCAAGCGUUAUCCGGAAUCAUUGGGUUUAAAGGGUCCGUAGGUGGAUGAUUAAGUCAGAGGUGAAAUCCUGCAGCUCAACUGUAGAAUUGCCUUUGAUACUGGUUGUCUUGAGUUAUUAUGAAGUAGUUAGAAUAUGUAGUGUAGCGGUGAAAUGCAUAGAUAUUACAUAGAAUACCAAUUGCGAAGGCAGAUUACUAAUAAUGGACUGACACUGAUGGACGAAAGCAUGGGGAGCGAAC
rnacentral:rRNA from 1 species